UACGUAGGUGGCAAGCGUUGUCCGGAAUUAUUGGGCGUAAAGGGCUCGUAGGCGGUUUGUCGCGUCGGGAGUGAAAACACGGGGCUUAACCCCGUGCCUGCUUCCGAUACGGGCAGACUAGAGGUAUGCAGGGGAGAACGGAAUUCCUGGUGUAGCGGUGAAAUGCGCAGAUAUCAGGAGGAACACCGGUGGCGAAGGCGGUUCUCUGGGCCGAUACUGACGCUGAGGAGCGAAAGCGUGGGGAGCGAACAGG
rnacentral:rRNA from 1 species